GACGAACGCUGGCGGCGCGCCUAACACAUGCAAGUCGAACGAGAGAUGAGGAGCUUGCUCUUCAAAUCGAGUGGCGAACGGGUGAGUAACGCGUGAGGAACCUGCCUCAAAGAGGGGGACAACAGUUGGAAACGACUGCUAAUACCGCAUAAGCCCACGGCUCGGCAUCGAGCAGAGGGAAAGGGAGCAAUCCGCUUUGAGAUGGCCUCGCGUCCGAUUAGCUAGUUGGUGAGGUAACGGCCCACCAAGGCAACGAUCGGUAGCCGGACUGAGAGGUUGAACGGCCACAUUGGGACUGAGACACGGCCCAGACUCCUACGGGAGGCAGCAGUGGGGAAUAUUGCACAAUGGGGGAAACCCUGAUGCAGCGACGCCGCGUGGAGGAAGAAGGUCUUCGGGAUUGUAAACUCCUGUUGUUGAGGAAGAUAAUGACGGUACUCAACAAGGAAGUGACGGCUAACUACGUGCCAGCAGCCGCGGU
rnacentral:rRNA from 1 species